rnacentral:rRNA from 1 species
GCUGGCGGCGUGCCUAACACAUGCAAGUCGAACGGAGUUAAGACUUCGGUUUAACUUAGUGGCGAACGGGUGAGUAACGCGUGAGAAACCUGCCUUUCAGUGGGGGACAACAGUUGGAAACGACUGCUAAUACCGCAUAAUGUUAUUUGGGGGCAUCCCUGAAUAACCAAAGAUUUAUUGCUGAAAGAUGGUCUCGCGUCUGAUUAGCUAGAUGCGGGGUAACGGCCCACCAUGGCGACGAUCAGUAGCCGGUCUGAGAGGAUGAACGGCCACAUUGGGACUGAGAUACGGCCCAGACUCCUACGGGAGGCAGCAGUGGGGAAUAUUGGGCAAUGGGGGAAACCCUGACCCAGCAACGCCGCGUGAAGGAAGAAGGCCUUCGGGUUGUAAACUUCUUUUACCAGGGACGAAGGACGUGACGGUACCUGGAGAAAAAGCAACGGCUAACUACGUG